rnacentral:rRNA from 1 species
GAUGAACGCUGGCGGUGUGCCUAACACAUGCAAGUCGAACGAGCCUUCGGGCUAGUGGCGGACGGGUGAGUAACACGUUAGUACCUGCCCUUUAGUGGGGAAUAACUCGGCGAAAGUCGAGCUAAUACCGCAUGUGACCGUUUACGGUUAAAGCCUUCGGGCGCUAAAGGAGGGGCUUGCGUCUGAUUAGCUAGUUGGUAGGGUAAUGGCCUACCAAGGCGAUGAUCAGUAGCUGGUUCGAGAGGAUGACCAGCCACACGCGGACUGAGAUACGGCCGCGACUCCUACGGGAGGCAGCAGUGAGGAAUCUUCCGCAAUGGACGAAAGUCUGACGGAGCAACACCGCGUGCAGGAUGACGGCCUU